GUAGGGAAUAUUGGGCAAUGGUCGGAAGACUGACCCAGCCAUGCCGCGUACAGGAAGACGGCCCUCUGGGUUGUAAACUGCUUUUAUCUGGGAAGAAAAAGGCCAUGCGUGGCAAAUUGCCGGUACCAGAUGAAUAAGCACCGGCUAACUCCGUGCCAGCAGCCGCGGUAAUACGGAGGGUGCGAGCGUUGUCCGGAUUUAUUGGGUUUAAAGGGUGCGUAGGCGGCUGAUUAAGUCAGCGGUGAAAGACUUCGGCUUAACCGGAGCAGUGCCGUUGAUACUGGUUGGCUUGAGUGUCGGAGGGGUACAUGGAAGUGAUGGUGUAGCGGUGAAAUGCAUAGAUACCAUCAGGAACACCGAUAGCGAAGGCAUUGUACUGGCCGACAACUGACGCUGAUGCACGAAAGUGUGGGGAUCGAACAGGAUUAGAAACCCUUGUAGUCC
rnacentral:rRNA from 1 species